GAACUAGAAAACGGACGUCAUCGUACUGAAAAGGAACCCUCGAAAUACGUGCGCUAGGUGUAUGGUCUGAACAGGCUACCAGUAAAACCAGGACGGGUUUUGUGCGCCAUAAGCCAAGCCCAAAGCUUAACUUAAAACAACAUGACUUGUUCGUUUUGUACGUGUACCGUACCGGGUACGUCGGCGAGUCGAUUGAAUCCGCAUACGUUAAUUUGAGCUGUGGUUUAUUCCCUUGUGAACAUCUGCAAACUUUAUGAAGAGCUCCUUGAAGUUUAGUCCAAUUUGAGCAGCUUCACGUCGCCACCUCAAGGGGAACAGCGACAAGCUGCUGUCAAACGGCGGAAGUGAACUAGCACGUCAAAAUGAAAUCUUGACGUGCGUGAAUAUGUACGUUGAAUAAGAUCCCAGUUUUGCAAUCUGUUGGAAGGUUGGAGGAAGGUUCUGUUGGAUGUUCGCCAGGGAGUCUUAAGCCUCAAAGUAGGCAAACA